CGCACACGGAUCUAUACACGUAGUCAACCUAACUCGUGGACGUGGAUACCUCGGGAAACUGAGAAUAAACCACGAUAGAUAACGGUGCCUGGAAUGGCCCAUUGUCCAAACAGUUUACUGCCACGGGAUGGGACUGCGGCCUAUCAGCUUGUUGGUGAGGUAAUGGCCCACCAAGGCUAUAACAGGUACGGGCUCUGAGAGGAGAAGCCCGGAGAUGGGUACUGAGACACGGACCCAGGCCCUAUGGGGCGCAGCAGGCGAGAAACCUUAGCAAUGUGCGAAAGCACGACUGGGUCAGUCCGAGUGAUUGCUGAUAGUGAUCUUUUGCCCGUCCUAAAAGCACGGGCGAAUAAGGGGUGGGCAAGUCUGGUGUCAGCCGCCGCGGUAAUACCAGCACCUCGAGUGGUCAGGACGAUUAUUGGGCCUAAAGCAUCCGUAGCUGGUUUUGCAAGUCUCCGGUUAAAUCCACCUGCUUAACAGAUGGGCCGCUGGAGAUACUACAAGACUAGGGAGUGGGAGAGGCAGACGGUAUUCGGGGGGUAGGGGUAAAAUCCUCUGAUCCUUUGAGGACCACCAGUGGCGAAGGCGGUCUGCCAGAACACGUUCGACAGUGAGGGAUGAAAGCUGGGGGAGCAAACCGGAUUAGAUACCCGGGUAGUCCCAGCUGUAAACGAUGCAGACUCGGUGAUGCAUUGGCUUCUUGCCAAUGCAGUGCCGCAGGGAAGCCGUUAAGUCUGCCGCCUGGGAAGUAAGGUCGCGAGAUUGAACUUAAAGGNCA
rnacentral:rRNA from 1 species